CAAGUCGAGCGAAUGGAUUGAGAGCUUGCUCUCAAGAAGUUAGCGGCGGACGGGUGAGUAACACGUGGGUAACCUGCCCAUAAGACUGGGAUAACUCCGGGAAACCGGGGCUAAUACCGGAUAACAUUUUGAACUGCAUGGUUCGAAAUUGAAAGGCGGCUUCGGCUGUCACUUAUGGAUGGACCCGCGUCGCAUUAGCUAGUUGGUGAGGUAACGGCUCACCAAGGCAACGAUGCGUAGCCGACCUGAGAGGGUGAUCGGCCACACUGGGACUGAGACACGGCCCAGACUCCUACGGGAGGCAGCAGUAGGGAAUCUUCCGCAAUGGACGAAAGUCUGACGGAGCAACGCCGCGUGAGUGAUGAAGGCUUUCGGGUCGUAAAACUCUGUUGUUAGGGAAGAACAAGUGCUAGUUGAAUAAGCUGGCACCUUGACGGUACCUAACCAGAAAGCCACGGCUAACUACGUGCCAGCAGCCGCGGUAAUACGUAGGUGGCAAGCGUUAUCCGGAAUUAUUGGGCGUAAAGCGCGCGCAGGUGGUUUCUUAAGUCUGAUGUGAAAGCCCACGGCUCAACCGUGGAGGGUCAUU
rnacentral:rRNA from 1 species